rnacentral:rRNA from 1 species
AGAGUUUGAUCAUGGCUCAGGAUGAACGCUGGCGGCGUGCUUAACACAUGCAAGUCGAACGAACCUUCGGGUUAGUGGCGGACGGGUGAGUAACGCGUGAGAAUCUGCCCUCAGGAGGGGGAUAACGGUUGGAAACGACCGCUAAUACCCCAUAUGCCGCGAGGUGAAAUGAAUUUCGCCUGAGGAUGAGCUCGCGUCUGAUUAGCUAGUUGGUGGGGUAAAGGCCUACCAAGGCAUCGAUCAGUACCUGGUCUGA